GAUGAACGCUGGCGGCGUGCUUAACACAUGCAAGUCGAACGAAGCGCUUAAACGGAUUUCUUCGGAUUGAAGUUUUUGCGACUGAGUGGCGGACGGGUGAGUAACGCGUGGGUAACCUGCCUCAUACAGGGGGAUAACAGUUAGAAAUGACUGCUAAUACCGCAUAAGCGCACAGUGCUGCAUGGCACAGUGUGAAAAACUCCGGUGGUAUGAAAUGGACCCGCGUCUGAUUAGCUAGUUGGUGGGGUAACGGCCUACCAAGGCGACGAUCAGUAGCCGGCCUGAGAGGGUGAACGGCCACAUUGGGACUGAGACACGGCCCAAACUCCUACGGGAGGCAGCAGUGGGGAAUAUUGCACAAUGGGGGAAACCCUGAUGCAGCGACGCCGCGUGAGCGAAGAAGUAUUUCGGUAUGUAAAGCUCUAUCAGCAGGGAAGAAAAUGACGGUACCUGACUAAGAAGCACCGGCUAAAUACGUGCCAGCAGCCGCGGUAAUACGUAUGGUGCAAGCGUUAUCCGGAUUUACUGGGUGUAAAGGGAGCGUAGACGGUUGUGUAAGUCUGAUGUGAAAGCCCGGGGCUCAACCCCGGGACUGCAUUGGAAACUAUGUAACUAGAGUGUCGGAGAGGUAAGCGGAAUUCCUAGUGUAGCGGUGAAAUGCGUAGAUAUUAGGAGGAACACCAGUGGCGAAGGCGGCUUACUGGACGAUCACUGACGUUGAGGCUCGAAAGCGUGGGGAGCANACAGG
rnacentral:rRNA from 1 species